rnacentral:rRNA from 1 species
GACGAACGCUGGCGGCGUGCCUAACACAUGCAAGUCGAGCGGAGAGGAGAAAGCUUGCUUUCGUAUCUUAGCGGCGGACGGGUGAGUAACGCGUGAGCAACCUGCCUUUCACUGGGGGAUAACGCAUCGAAAGAUGUGCUAAUACCGCGUAAGACCACAGCAUCGCAUGGUGCAGAGGUCAAAGGAGCAAUCCGGUGGAAGAUGGGCUCGCGUCCGAUUAGCUAGUUGGUGAGAUAACAGCCCACCAAGGCGACGAUCGGUAGCCGACCUGAGAGGGUGACCGGCCACAUUGGGACUGAGAUACGGCCCAG